GAACAAUAUGUUUUCCACAUGGUAGUACGCCGUAUUGCCGUUAGAGUUUGAUGAAUGUUUAAAAUCAGUAUGCCUCACCUGCUGCAACAAGCUCGUGGAUUUUCUCUAUUAUAAGCGGAUGGACCCCAUUGGAAAUGCCGCACACUUCUCCGUGUGGGUGGUUUGUGUGUGCUUGCUGGUUUGGAACUUUGACAAAAAACCUCUUUAUUUUUUUAAUUUGCGCUUCAUUGUGUUCUUAUCGAUUUUUAACUUGUUCAAGAGCGAUGGUUUAAUGACUCGUUCCAUCUACAAUAAUUUGGACACAGCGCAGACGAACGAAGCUUGAAAGAUGUCGAUCCAGCAACUUCGUAUUUUUGUAAAAACUCGUUCAAGUUAGUCUCUCCAUCAAUCCAGCCUGUGAAAUAUUCACCAUUCUCUACGACCUCUUUUAAAUAUCGGCUUAUAACCUGUCGAAUAUCUCGAUUGUUUGCAUUAUUUAAAUUACCCGCCAUUAUGCAAAUGAUCGCGCAAAAAUAAACUUGAAAUUAACUUAAUUUCAUCGCUCAAAAGUAGUUUUCGUGUUAUACGCAAUCGGCACAAGUGACGUCACGACAUGAACUGCUGUACAAAUAGUAAAUCCCUUUUCGAAAAUUUGACGAAUUUAAAUUCACUUAUGGACAAAAUUUUUAAUGCCAUCGGAUAGGAUAUCAAGCAUAUGAGUAAAGAGUUUCCUAUUAGAAUGGUCAACGGAUUUGAUAGAAGCGAUAAAACGACCUACUGUGCGUAAAGAACGUUCUUCAGAUGAAGACGUUAUUGGUAUAAAAUUUGGACUAAACUAAUUUAUUUUAUAUUUGAUUCUUGAAUCGGGGCUUUUUAUUUGCAAUGUAGCUUGUCUGCAUAAUUGUAAUUUAAAGUUUUUAUUUGUAAUUGUAUAUUGAGUUCCUGUGGCUAUAAUGUCUGUCAAAUUUGUAUUAACUUACAAAUAAAGAUGUUUUUUGUUGUCUUAUUUUUAAUAAACAAUAUAUGAAAUUACAAUUUUUUAAAGAAUGAAGUUAUUGAUAAAUUGUUACAAUUAAAUUAACAACUUUACCAUUAUGUCAAA